rnacentral:rRNA from 1 species
UACGUAGGGGGCAAGCGUUGUCCGGAAUCAUUGGGCGUAAAGAGCGUGUAGGCGGCUUGUUAAGUCUUGCGUGAAAUCUCGGGGCUCAACCCCGAGCGGUCGUGAGAAACUGGCAGGCUAGAGUGCGGGAGAGGAGAGUGGAAUUCCUGGUGUAGCGGUGAAAUGCGCAGAUAUCAGGAGGAACACCUGUGGUGUAGACAGCUUACUGGACCACUUCUGACGCUGAGACACGAAAGCGUGGGUAGCAAACAGG